UUGAGACCUAGCUCAGCUGGUAGAGCACGAGACUCUGAAUCUCGGGACGGUGGGUUCGAGCCCCACAUUGGGCAAAA